CAAAAAUGAUAAUUUAUCAUUCUCUACUUAGAUCUAUGAAAAACCGAUGAUUAUGUUGUUGAUUAUAUUUGUUGUUGUUAUUGCAGGUUUCGAUCAAAUGCGGAUCUCCUCUUCCCUUUUGAUUUUUCAAGUAUGUCUUAGAUUUGAAGUUGGGAAAUAAUGGAAAGGUCGUUAAACGUUGUUCCUCUCAUUUUUCAGUUUAUAUGAGUCUAUAUGAAAGAAGCACACUAUGUGGUGGCAUUUGAGAGGUCUUUGCGUCCGUUGCGACUGCAUUAGGCGCUUUUGCCCAUAUUUUGCUGCAAUAUCAAGGGUUGGAGCAUAAUUGCAACCUCUAUUACCAGUGAAACUCUUAAAACAGUACGAUCUGUUUUUGUAACUUCAUCGCUAGAGAGAAAGGAAUCGACAGCAAAACCUGAGAAAAAUCCUCAAGAAGUUGAAAG